rnacentral:sRNA from 1 species
GUAUCCUAUAACAGAAAUUACAGUGAAUUGCUUCAUUGGGGUAUAAAGUCUGGAAAAGGAAAUUACCUUAGUGAAUAAAAGUCAAACAAAUUUCUCCGUGUGUUGACUGGAAGCUUAAAGAUGUGUUGAAUUUGACAGAAAAUUUGCUUGUAAUAAUGCAUAGACGUUUCCUUUCUCCUGAAAAGGGUGAUAAUUAAAGGACAAGCGCAGUUACAACCAGAUAAAUACAUUAAAUGUUUUCCUUUGUUUCCGCAUUAAAAUUGUUAUCGUUCUAGUAAAAUUUAAACUGCCCAUUAAAGCUAAAUUGCUAUCGUAUUUACCAUAGUGUUUAUGAUCCGCUUAAGUAAUUAAAAUCAAAUUCCGAUGAUUGAGGCCGAAUUUUUAUACUCUCCACCAUA